ACGAACGCUGGCGGCGUGCUUAACACAUGCAAGUCGAACGAGGUUAAGCGAAGGAAGUCUUCGGAUGGAAUUUGUUUAACCGAGUGGCGGACGGGUGAGUAACGCGUGAGGAACCUGUCUUCUACAGGGGGAUAACGGUCCGAAAGGAUUGCUAAUACCGCAUAAGACCACGGAAUCGCAUGGUUCAGGGGUCAAAGGAGAAAUCCGGUAGAAGGUGGACUCGCGUCCCAUUAGAUAGUUGGUGAGGUAACGGCCCACCAAGUCGACGAUGGGUAGCCGGCCUGAGAGGGUGACCGGCCACAUUGGAACUGAGAUACGGUCCAGACUCCUACGGGAGGCAGCAGUGGGGAAUAUUGGGCAAUGGGCGAAAGCCUGACCCAGCAACGCCGCGUGAGGGAAGAAGGUCUUCGGGUUGUAAACCUCUGUCCUUGGUGAAAAGGAAGGAUGGUAGCCAAGGAGGAAGCUCCGGCUAACUACGUGCCAGCAGCCGCGGUAAUACGUAGGGAGCGAGCGUUGUCCGGAAUGAUUGGGCGUAAAGGGCGUGUAGGCGGCCAAUUAAGUCUGAAGUGAAAUCCCUGGUUUCAAGUCAGGGUCUGCUUUGGAAACUGGUUGGCUUGAGUGCAGGAGAGGUUAUCGGAAUUCCCGGUGUAGCGGUGAAAUGCGUAGAGAUCGGGAGGAACACCAGUGGCGAAGGCGGGUAACUGGACUGUAACUGACGCUAAGGCGCGAAAGUGUGGGGAGCAAACAGGAUUAGAUACCCUGGUAGUCCACACUGUAAACGAUGAAUGCUAGGUGUAGGGGGUAUCGACCCCUUCUGUGCCGCAGUAAACACAAUAAGCAUUCCGCCUGGGGAGUACGGCCGCAAGGUUGAAACUCAAAGGAAUUGACGGGGGCCCGCACAAGCAGCGGAGCAUGUGGUUUAAUUCGACGCAACGCGAAGAACCUUACCAGGUCUUGACAUCCAAUAAAAGCAUCAGAGAUGAUGUGUGUGCUUGCACAUAUUGAGACAGGUGGUGCAUGGUUGUCGUCAGCUCGUGUCGUGAGAUGUUGGGUUAAGUCCCGCAACGAGCGCAACCCUUGUUUACAGUUACUAACGUAUCAUGGCGAGGACUCUGUAGAGACUGCCGGGGACAACUCGGAGGAAGGUGGGGAUGACGUCAAAUCAUCAUGCCCCUUAUGACCUGGGCUACACACGUGCUACAAUGGCCGUCACAAA
rnacentral:rRNA from 1 species